AAUACACAACAUACAGAUUUUAACUUCGUAAAACGAUAGACAUAUCGAUACUGAAUACCCGGACACAGAACCCGUUCUUUGAUUCGAAACUAUCACCAUACUGAGGGAACACGCCAUAUUGAUAAGAUGUCUCAACGCGAAUCCCGUCCUGACUCUUUUAUCAGCACUUCCUCACACCAUUCUUCAGUACAGCUGCCUGGGGGUCAUGCAAAUGCUAUAGGAUCUUCUUCCAAAGUUUCCGCCUCAAGCCAUCAGAUGUGGACUGCGUAUCAAGGUCCAGUGCUAUUUACAGGACCAGAUGGAAACCGUCAACAUCGUACGACCACACAUGAAAGGUUUCAAAUGGUGGGAGAAGGCGAUCGUUCAACGGAGGUUACGAGUCAGAUGAAUUACCUCAACAGACCCCCUCCCGGCCAAGCAUUCCCUAAGGCCAAAAACGGACAGAUUGGGGAGAUCGGUUGGCCCGUGGAAACAUUUAAGCUGUACAAUGGCAUAUAACUGAAUACAUUUCUGAACAUAUAAUAUGUUAACUAUUUAUUGUCACAAUCAAGGUUUCUACAAUUAUGGUA